rnacentral:lncRNA from 1 species
UUGCUGUGCAGUAUAUUUGUAAAUUUAACCCAUUAUAUGCACACAUUCAAUUUUUUAUAAUCAGUUCACAUGCCUCAUUUUGAAUAUUAUUUUGUAUUAAAUAAACUUUAUUUUUUCCUCUUUCUUUUUUUAUUAAUCAUUCCAUUCAUUUAUAUCUCAAAUGAUAUUCCACUUCCUGGUUAUUCCUCCAACAAUCCCCCAUCCCACAUCUGCCCUUCUGUUGUGUGCCAUUCAGCGGCUGUCGAGGAACGGGGUAUGGUUGAAGUGGCAGAAUUGAGCAAAAAGAAAAGGAACUAGAUGGACAAGAGAAAGAACGGAGCUAAGACAAGGUUCUGAUCACAGCUCAAUUUUACUAUCCAGUGCACCAGGUUAUGAAGAAGGGGGAAGGGGCCAAUUCCUGCCAAAUCAUCCUGGAGUCCAGUUGCAGGUGACCACGUGUUUGGCUCCGGAACAGCUAGAUGGCAGGUAGCAGCAGUGGGAGUGGCAGAACGAUAGGGUGGUAGGCUCCACCCAGAUGCUCUCUUUGUGCUAAGAGUGAAACCUGAGCAGCCAGGUUUCAGGCUUUGGGGGGUGGGGGGGCUUCAUCUCCUCCCUGUUGUUAACAUAAAAAGAAAAGGCUGGGCUGAGGCAUGAAAUUUAUUUAUGCUCUAUACUUCUGCCUGAAUUCUUAGGGCCUAAUGAAGAAACCUGUCUCAGUGGGAUUUCCUAUCUUUUCUUAUGGUAAACUGAAUCUGGAUAAGACUGUCCUUUCUUUCCUAGUAAACUUUUUGCAGACUACCCCUGGGCUGUUGGCUCCAUCUUUUAUAAUGCUAAUUAGUUACUGAAUAGGUAACUCCCUUGUUGAAUUUUUACUGAAUACUAAGCAGUCAGCUAGGGAAUUGGAACACUGGCAAAGACUAACUGUACGAUUUUGAAAGGUACUAUAUUAUGAUAAACUGAAAGCGAGUAUGGUGAUUCUCCUCAACAGCCUUGGAUGACAGGCAGGGAACAGAGAGGAGGGGUGACAACCGCCUCUGUAGCACAAGGCCAUUUGGCUUGUUAGGGUGGGAGUCUGUGAAGGGUUUGCCCUUCUCAUGAUAUGGUCUCCAACCUCUCUCUCCCCCCUUUGAAUUAAGCUUAAUAAGGCCACGCUUAACUGAGGUGAUCAAAUGAUGUCCUCAUUCUUUAAUGUGUGGGUUUUAACCAUGGCUGGAGGAGUAUUGACGCGAUUCCUCCCGUGGGUGCUGUCACGACCCACAAUCAUGGCUCUUGGUAUCUUUUGGGGAGGGGAGGCAGAGCCUUAGAAAGAUAUUCUUGGUUGUAACUGGAACUACAUACCAACCUCCAUCCAAACCGGGUGUAUCUCUCAGGGAACUCAGAAAUGGUCAAGUUGGACCUUCUCCUGCAGUGUACUUCCUGCUCCCAUGCUGAUGCCCAUAAUGUAUUCAUAUUAUCACAAAUCAGCAUGUACAGUUCUGAGUACUGUGCACCUACCAAGGGAGAAUUGUCAACCUCAGAUUCAGCAAGGCCUCUACAAGAAUUAUGUCACUAGUAACACCACAAUUUGUGGCUCUUAGGCUAUAUUAGGAGCUGGAGGUCACCCUCCUCAUCUCUAAUAUUUCCACAGCCUGAGGAACCAAGGGGACCUUGCAAUAACUGCAAGGGUAGAAAACCGGAGACCAGCUAAGGGACUAAGCAGAAUAAAAACCAUAUUCUUUUAAUAUUUGAAAUUUCUGCCUUUCUAGCUGUAGUAGCAAACCUUAAUCACAAAUCAGACCAAAAUCCACAAUACAUCCUGGAAUGUCUUUAGAAUGAAAAUUAGUAGCUGCCACCUGCACACUCUUGGGGGCGGGGAUGCAAGCCCACCUCAGUCAGCCUGAAGGGUGUUGAUUGACCUGCUUGAAAAACAAGAUCCAGGCAAUGAGAAGGUAACAAUGCAAAGCUUCUUUUGGGGAAGUCCAGGUACUUUAUUCAGUUGCAAGUUAGCAAGGCUCAAGCUCAGUCUUCGGCCUACUUGUGGGGGAGCUGGCUCUGAGAGUUGCAAGAAAACCGCAGCUUUCCUGGAAGCCUAUGUUCCCAACUGACUUCUAGGCAAAAGAGGAAUUUUUAGCCCUCAGAGUGAUACUUACAAGAAGAUUCAGGAUCUGUGUCCAGCAGAUGAAUUAAUCUCUCGGGUAGCCAUUGCGCUCCAUCUUCUUCUCGUGAAAAAACACAGACCAAGCCUCUUCCCCAGACUAGAACUGAAUCUGGACCCUUAAAUUCGUUAGUUAGUGGGUCCUUCCAUUUUACCAAUGCAUAAGAAUUAGAAGUAACUGGAUGCCAGUGGCGAUCCGCUGCAGACUGACCUUUAAUAUCAGUUUGCAAAAAAAUUAGAACAAAUUAGGUAAAGGUAAGAUGUGCCUUUGGUGACUUUGGGGGAUAUAACUGCCCCUGUUUUGUCUUAAAAAGCCAAUUCUUUAAGGUGCAAUGAGCACGUUCAACUAUUCCCUGUCCCAUGGGGUUAUAAGGAAUUCCAGUUUUGUGUGUGAUGCCGAAUUCUUUACAGAAUGAGAUAAAAUUUUGCUAGAAUAGGAUGGCCCGUUAUCUGUCUUAAUAAGUUUAGGCAAUCCCAUGGCGUUAAUGGCUUGUAGGCAAUGAUCAAUUACGUUUUUAGAAACCUCUCCUGUAUGC